CCUACGUGUGGCUGCAGUGGGGAAUAUUGCACAAUGGGGGGAACCCUGAUCCAGCGACGCCGCGUGAGUGAAGAAGUAUUUCGGUACGUAAAGUUCUAUCAGCAGGGACGAAAGAAAUGACGGUACCUGACUAAGAAGCCCCGGCUAACUACGUGCCAGCAGCCGCGGUAAUACGUAGGGGGCAAGCGUUAUCCGGAUUUACUGGGUGUAAAGGGUGAGGAGACGGCGUUGCAAGCCUGAAGUGAAAGGCGUGGGCUCAACCCCCGGAUUGCAUUGGAAACUGUAAAGCUAGAGGACAGGAGAGGAAAGUGGAAUUCCUAGGGUAGCGGUGAAAUGCGUAGAUAUUAGGAAGAACACCAGUGGCGAAGGCGGCUUACUGGACUGUAACUGACGUUGAGGCUCGAAAGCGUGGGGAGCGAACAGGAUUAGAUACCCCUGUAGUC
rnacentral:rRNA from 1 species